GAUGGAGUUUCGCUCCUUUUGCCCAGGCUAGAGUGCAAUGGCACGAUCUCAGCUCACCGCAACCUCCAACUCCCGGGUUCAAGCGAUUCUCCUACCUCAGCCUCCCGAGUAGCUGCAAUUACAGGCAUGUGCCACCACGCCCAGCUAAUUUUUUGUAUUUUUAGUAGAGAUGGGGUUUCUCCAUGUUGGUCAGGCUGGUCUCGAAUUCCCGACCUCAGGUGAUCCACCUGCCUUGGCCUCCCAAAGUGCUGGGAUUACAGGUGUGAGCUACCAUGCCCGGCCAGGAAAGUUGAUCUUUUAUGAUAUCAUUUUAUGACAUUCUAACAGUGAUCCAUGUAAAAUCCACAAGUAAAACGGCUUUACAGCACACAUGGCAAUGGUCUUGAGAAAGAGUGGGAAAAGCUCUUAAGACCAUGUAAAACAGAAGCACAUUUGCAGGCAGUAUAUGGCACAGUUUAGAAGACAAAGCAGCUGGGCUUAAACCAAGCUCUGCCAUUAAUGUGCACUGUGAUCUCACAUAAGCCACCUUUUCUUGCCCUUGAUACCUAUUUGGUACAAGUUAAGAGUUGUACUAGACGAGUAGCUUCUCUUUCACUGUCUGGGAUUUUUUCUUUCUUUUUGAGACGGAGUCUCACUCUUGUCGCCGAGGCUGGAGUGCAGUGGCACCGUGUGGGCUCACUGCAACUUCCGUCUCCUGGGUUCAAGCAAUUCUCCUGCCUCAGCCUCCCGAGUAGCUGAGAUUACAGGCACCCACCACCAUGCCUGGCUAUCCCAGCUACUCAGGAGGCUGAAGCAGGAGAAUCGCUUGAACCUGGAGGCAGAGAUUGCAGUGAGCCAAGACUGCACCACUGCACUCCAGCCUGGGCAACAGAGCGAGACUCC
rnacentral:lncRNA from 10 species